rnacentral:rRNA from 1 species
UUGGAGGGCAAGUCUGGUGCCAGCAGCCGCGGUAAUUCCAGCUCCAAUAGCGUAUAUUAAAGUUGUUGCAGUUAAAAAGCUCGUAGUUGAAUUUCGGGAUCAAUACGUCGGUCGUGCCCCGGUACGUACUGGCGUCAUUGAUUUCUCCCUUCUGAAGAACCUUGAUGCCAUUAACUUGGUGUCAUGGGAAAUCAGGACUGUUACUUUGAAAAAAUUAGAGUGUUUAAAGCAGGCUCACGCUUGAAUACAUUAGCAUGGAAUAAUGAAAUAGGACGUUCGACCCUAUUUUGUUGGUUUCUAGGAUCAACGUAAUGAUUAAUAGGGAUAGUUGGGGGCAUUAGUAUUCAAUUGUCAGAGGUGAAAUUCUUGGAUUUAUUGAAGACUAACUACUGCGAAAGCAUUUGCCAAGGAUGUUUUCAUUAAUCAAGAACGAAAGUUAGGGGAUCGAAGACGAUCAGAUACCGUCGUAGUCUUGACCAUAAACUAUGCCGACUAGGGAUCGGAUGAUGUUAAUUUUUUAAUGACUCAUUCGGCGCCUUACGGGAAACCAAAGUGUUUGGGUUC